rnacentral:lncRNA from 1 species
UUACAAUUAUAAAAUACAAUCAUAUUAACUGCGAAUAUUCUUCACGGUGCGAACUUGUUUUUAAAGCCUCGUUUUUAAUCUGACCUGAUCGAGAGAAUGGACGCAUUAUUAUUAAUACAGUUUGAAUAGAUUUACCCGUUUUAUGAUUUAUCACUGAAUGAACAGAUAGAUACAUCUAGAUAGAUGCUCUUGUGCUGUCCGUUAUAAGCAUUUAAUUCUUUCAUACCUCCGGGACAUAUGUUUCACCUACGAAAAAAAUCAUGACUUUUAAACAAAUAAGCUUAUCGACCUUUCCCAAGGGAAAGGUCGAUAAGCUUAUUUUAAAGAAGAAAGUUUAAGCUACAUGUACAAAAAUCGCGCACUUUGAAAUAUAUUUGCCAGGGCUGGGUAAUGUCUAGUUAAAAAGAUAAAAGUUAAGUUAAAAAAUUAAAUAACUUUAACUUAACUUAGUUACAUUCCUAGACUCUUAACUUUUAACUUAAUUUAGUUACAUUUUAUCGAUAACUUAUAACUUUUUAUGUUACUCUUUUGAAGUUAACUAUGCCAUAAAUAAAGGCGUCGCGAGAUGCCGCGCGCUUGCCUACAAGUGAUUCUACAUUAUAAGUCACAGGUUGCAGUACUAGUCGAUUUGGCUUCCUCUUUUCCCCAAACGCUGGUCGUAAAAUUAACGCAAUUUACGUGAUCGCAAGUAGAUUUUGUGUAAAAAACGCAAUGAGUGUUAACGUUGACGAAUUUGAUUCGUCUAUGUCGACUGAAAAAGAUUUUGAUUGGGGUGAUUUGUCGCAAUCUACAGUCGAUCGCAAAAGCGUGCUAUGCAUGUGGUCUCACUUUCGCGAUUUUUUUGAGUUCGACACUCACGAUCAAAAAAUCGGAAAUGCUUCUUAUGUAAACCCAAGAAAAAAUACAUAUCGGCAUCGCGGAUUGCUCGAUUAGACACAGUACGAUUAGACACAGCCAAUCAUAUAGACCGAUGCCUAGGGUAACCAGCACGAUCAAGCACGAUUAGCCAAUUAAAGCCAGUUGUGUCCAAUUGUACUGUGUCUAAUCGGAGGUGUCUCUCGGCAUCAGUGUCUUCAAACUCGAAUUUGAAAACGCACAUCAAACAUUAUACAUCCUAGUAAAUUAGACGAUUUUAACAAAGCUUCGAAAAAUACACUAGCAGUUAAAAGAAAUUUAGCACACGAAAAUCUGAUGAGCAAAAACCAGAUUCAAAACAAAGGAAGUUGGAUCAUUUCAGAAAAAAUAAAUUUUUAACUAAACAAAAGUUUGAUCAAAUUACUUUAAAGCUUAUUAUCAAUACUGCGUCUGCAUUUUCACUUGUCGAGCACGAAGCAUUUAUCGAGUUUUGUGAAACAAUUCAGCAAAUGCCUAUGACUUGCAAAACUCUUAUGACGCAUAUUGAUAAAACAUUCGAAAAAAUGAAAAUGGAACUGAUCGAAGAACUAAAGAAAGUGGAAUAGGUGUGUGUAACGGCAGAUUGCUGGACGGCAUUUAGAAGAUCCUACUUGGGCAUGACAAUACACUGGUUGGAUCAUGAUACUCUGGAGAGAAAAUCAAUCAUGUGUGCCAUCGACUUGAAGGGAGACAUACAUACGAUGUUAUUGCAAGGGAAAUUGAGAUGAGUGUAUAGUGAGAUUGAAGAUGCUAAAACAGAAAAUGAACGUGGAAAACAUCUAGAAUCGGUAGAAAUAUCGGAAAUUUUAACCACUAACGGAGAAAGUUAUAGACUACCACCUCAAUAAAAAUGUACUUCUCAUACACUAAAUUUAGUUAGUACCAUCGAUACAACUUGUGCUGAGGCAGAUAUUACAAUAAUUACAAAGAAAUUAGCAGAAGGGCAUUCGCAAAAUGUCAAGCUAUCUUCAACAAGCAAAAUCAAUCGUCUGUUGCAGCAGAUAUGGUUAAAAAAUGUCUUGGAAAAUAUUUAAAAGUUCCAAACGCUACAAGAUGGAAUUCAUUCUAUGGUGCUAUAGUGGAGGUAAUGAGACCGUUGCCAAAGGUUUAGAUAUCUUACAAGGAGAUAAACAUAUUUUUAUGGGAUAUUUAUUGCCUACGUUAGUAUCAAUCGAAGAACAUUUAAAUCAAAAGCUAACUGAGGUGUUUCAUGUAAAACCAUUAGUAAAUGCUCUCCUGAAAGGUAUUUACAAAAGAUUUCACUAUCUCUAUCAGUCUAAUGAUCUGAGGAUUGUUGCCUGUUUGAUACCAGAUUUUAAAUUGUGCUGAAUACAAGAUAAAAACGAAAAAAAGAGGUUACCGAACUUUUAAAAUCGAUUGUUCAAAAGUUUAAUUUCAAAGAUGCAGAAGUUCAUACAAGUAUACUCAAAGAACAGAAGGUCUUACGCAAAACCGACGAUUUUUUUAUAUUUCAUAACACGCCGGACCAGAACCGAAACGAAAACGCGAUAAUAACUGAUCAUAUUAUUCAAACCUACUUGUCAAUUGAUACAUUUGCGACGGAAAAAGAUUUCCCUAAGGCACUCAAAUGUGCUUUUAUAAAAUAUAAUACUUCGAUACCAUCUUCAGCUCACGUUGAACGGUUAUUCAGUGCAGGAGGGCUCGUUUUCGAUAAUCUUCGAGGAAAAAUGUCUGAUAAGAAUUUCGAAAUGGCUUUAUUACUUAAAUUUAAUAAGUAUUUGUAAAUAAAAUAUAAAGUAUGUUUCUAAAUAAAGUGUAUAAGUAUAAUAAAUAAAGUGAUGUUUGUUAUUUCCGCUAUUUGUAAGACUGUGA